AGAGUUUGAUCAUGGCUCAGAGUGAACGCUGGCGGCAGGCCUAAUACAUGCAAGUCGAACGGCUGCACAGCAGAGCUUGCUCUGUGGGUGGCGAGUGGCGGACGGGUGAGGAAUACGUGGGAAUCUGCCCAGUCGUGGGGGAUAACGUAGGGAAACUUACGCUAAUACCGCAUGCGCCCUUCGGGGGAAAGCCGGGGACCUUCGGGCCUGGCGCGAUUGGAUGAGCCCACGUCGGAUUAGCUAGUUGGCGGGGUAAAGGCCCACCAAGGCGACGAUCCGUAGCUGGUCUGAGAGGAUGAUCAGCCACACUGGAACUGAGACACGGUCCAGACUCCUACGGGAGGCAGCAGUAGGGAAUAUUGGACAAUGGGCGCAAGCCUGAUCCAGCCAUGCCGCGUGAGUGAAGAAGGCCCUCGGGUUGUAAAGCUCUUUUGUCCGGAAAGAAAAGCGCCGGGUUAAUACCCUGGUGUCCUGACGGUACCGGAAGAAUAAGCACCGGCUAACUUCGUG
rnacentral:rRNA from 1 species